rnacentral:rRNA from 1 species
AGGAUAAACGCUGGCGGCGUGCUUCAGGCAUGCAAGUCGAACGGGUCCAUACCUUCGGGUAUGUACUAGUGGCGGACGGGUGAGUAACACGUAAGUAACCUGCCCGGAAGUGGGGAAUAACUGACCGAAAGGUUGGCUAAUACCGCAUGUGAUGGCUCUUCCCUGGAGGAGUCAUUAAAGGCGAAAGUCGCUUCUGGAGGGGCUUGCGGCCGAUUAGCUAGUUGGUGGGGUAACGGCCUACCAAGGCGACGAUCGGUAGCUGGUCUGAGAGGACGGACAGCCACACGGGGACUGAGAUACGGCCCCGAUCCUACGGGAGCAGCAGCUAGGAAUCUGGGAAUGGGCAAAGCCUGACCCAGCAACGCGCGUGGGCGAUGAAGGCCUUCGGGUCGUAAAGCCCUUUUGCAGGGGAAGAUAGUGACGGUACCUGCGAAUAAGCCACGGCUAACUACGUGCCAGCAGCCGC